GUGAAUAUGCUUGUGAAGGGCUAUACCUUGCUGAAGGAUUGUAACUUGGUGAGGUUGGACUGUAAGUUGGUGAGGUGGGACUGUAUCCAGGCGAAGUUGGGCUGUAGGCAGGUGAGGUUGGGCUAUAUGAUGGCGAGGUUGGGCUGUACGAUGGAGAGGUUGGGCUAUAUGAAGGUGAGGUUGGGCUGUAAGAUGGAGAGGUUGGGCUGUAAGAGGGUGAGGUAGGGCUGUAAGAGGGUGAUGUGGGGCUGUAAGACGGAGACGUGGGGCUGUAAGCCGGAGAGGUUGGGCUAUACGCAGGUGAGGUUGGGCUGUAUGCUGGAGAAGUUGGGCUGUAGCUCGGAGAUGUAGGGCUGUAGCUCGGAGAUGUGGGGCUAUAGCUAGGAGAUGUUGGGCUGUAGGAAGGAGACGUUGGUGAAUAAGAUGGGCUUGUGGGAGAAUACGCAGGGCUUGUAGGACUAUAUCCAGGAGAACUAGGACUAUAUGUUGGGGACGUAGGGCUGUAACCAGGGGAAGUAGGACUGUACCCAGGUGAGGUGGGGCUGUAUCCAGGAGAUGACGGGCUGUAUCCAGGAGAUGAAGGGCUGUACCCUGGAGAUGAUGUAGGAGAAAACGCCAUCCCGCCCACAUACGGAGAAAACUGAGCAUCUGAAACAGGAGAUAACCGAAGAUUUGGGCUCAGCAUAUAAUUUGGUGACAUCAUGCCAUCAUGAUAUGGGGUCCCUGAGAUGGGUGAACGGCCAGGAGUCAUGCCAAACUCCAGUCCACCUUCCAUAUAACUGGGCAGAGGGAUCUCAAUAGCUUGUUUAGCAUCUCUUCAUUCAUAUACAAAGCACAAUCACCUGUGCCAAUAGGUGCAAGCUGUCCUAACAUGAUAUUCUCAGUUACACCCCUGAGGUAAUCUGUUUCUGCAUACACAGCAGCAUCAAGAAGAAUGUCCACUGUUUCUUCAAAGGAGCAUCUCAUCAUGGGGCCAGUAUCGUUGCGAUUGAUACCAUGACGGGUGAUGGCCAUCAAGUGACCACGAUAUGUCAUGGUAUCACACAAUAUAGCCAAAUGUCUAUAGUUCACGUAAGACCCAUCAAAUGAUAUGACAACACGCAACUCAUCCAGCAAGGCUUUGCGAACUGCCUCAAUGCCAAGAACUUCAAUAACUUCAAUCAAAUGAUUGCUUGUUGUCCUACUUGCAUCUACAUCUUCAUGGCAAAUUACAGCUAAAAGAUUAACACCUUCGGUGUCAAGCAUCCACUCAUUCUCAGCCUUGAAGCCUUCAUUUUCAUCAAACUUAUUUACCUUGCCAUUCUUUAUGAACACCUUAUUGAUAUCUGGUAUGCCUCGAAGAGCCAUUUCUGUAAGCAUGUUACCCUCAAUCUUUUUGAGGAAGACAUCAUCCUCAGCAGAUUCAUCAUUCAACUCACCUUUAGGGGCUUCAUCAUUCAUAAUACGAAUACGAAGGAUAAGCUUUUCAGCAUUAUCAUCAUUAAAUAUGCACGUUAGAUCACUAUCAAAUUCAGCAUUAAUCUUAUGGGAAAUAUCAGCCAUGUUGAGUUUCUUAUCCACCAUCAUUUCUCUGUUUAACUCUAUGCGAAGCAACCACGGAGAGAUCUUGUCGGGGUCAACAUCAUCAUCUGGCAUCUCAAAGUAGGACGUCACAAAUUCAACAUCUUCCUCAAUAAUAGUGCUCUUAGGAUCUGGAUCGUACCAUACCUCUGUUGCUUGUGUUACACUCCGCAAGGUUGUAUACUCCAGAGCGCACUGGACAUUUUUGGCCUUCUCCUUAGUUUUGCUUACACCAGGCUUCAAGUAUACCGAGAGNAGGUAAUCUGUUUCUGCAUACACAGCAGCAUCAAGAAGAAUGUCCACUGUUCUCAAAGGAGCAUCUCAUCAUGGGGCCAGUAUCGUUGCGAUUGAUACCAUGACGGGUGAUGGCCAUCAAGUGACCACGAUAUGUCAUGGUAUCACACAAUAUAGCCAAAAUGUCUAUAGUUCACGUAAGACCCAUCAAAUGAUAUGACAACACGCAACUCAUCCAGCAAGGCUUUGCGAACUGCCUCAAUGCCAAGAACUUCAAUAACUUCAAUCAAAUGAUUGCUUGUUGUCCUACUUGCAUCUACAUCUUCAUGGCAAAUUACAGCUAAAAGAUUAACACCUUCGGUGUCAAGCAUCCACUCAUUCUCAGCCUUGAAGCCUUCAUUUUCAUCAAACUUAUUUACCUUGCCAUUCUUUAUGAACACCUUAUUGAUAUCUGGUAUGCCUCGAAGAGCCAUUUCUGUAAGCAUGUUACCCUCUAAUCUUUUUGUAGGAAGACAUCAUCCUCAGCAGAUUCAUCAUUCAACUCACCUUUAGGGGCUUCAUCAUUCAUAAUACGAAUACGAAGGAUAAGCUUUUCAGCAUUAUCAUCAUUAAAUAUGCACGUUAGAUCACUAUCAAAUUCAGCAUUAAUCUUAUGGGAAAUAUCAGCCAUGUUGAGUUUCUUAUCCACCAUCAUUUCUCUGUUUAACUCUAUGCGAAGCAACCACGGAGAGAUCUUGUCGGGGUCAACAUCAUCAUCUGGCAUCUCAAAGUAGGACGUCACAAAUUCAACAUCUUCCUCAAUAAUAGUGCUCUUAGGAUCUGGAUCGUACCAUACCUCUGUUGCUUGUGUUACACUCCGCAAGGUUGUAUACUCCAGAGCGCACUGGACAUUUUUGGCCUUCUCCUUAGUUUUGCUUACACCAGGCUUCAAGUAUACCGAGAGAGAGGGUGUUUUAAUUUUCUUAGCAACAUUAAUAAUCUCCCUCAACCUUGGAACACCUAAAGUUAACAAUUCUUGGCACUCACACCAGCAUAGUGAAAUGUAUUGAGGGUCAUCUGUGUAGCAGGUUCACCAAUGGAUUGUGCAGCAACACAUCCUAUCAUUUCACCAGCAGCAACAAGUGACUGAAGAAAACGGGAUUCUAUCUCGCCAACUACCCAGUCAAAAGCCUCACGGGUAAGUCUGUACUCCUUCAGGACCCUUUUACUUGCUAAAGCACUACGAAGCAAUAUAUUGAAGAAAAGAGUAGCAUUCUUCUGUGCUUCCAAACUCAGAUAAUCAUCACCAACAACCACCUUAAGCCUUUCUUGUAACUUAUCAACAGCUUCUACAAUCUCCAUUGGAUGCAUAUCAGACGGUCUCCGAAAAUCAACUCUAAAGGUCUUCUGUGCAUUCAAAACAAGCCUCUUGAUGUUGACAGGGAGGGGCCAAGAAUUGUCACCCGUGGUGGCAAUCUCUGUUCCAAGUUGAUACCUAUCGGCUUCAAGUUUCUGAACCUCUGCAUCAAACACACUGCGGAUUUCACGAAUCGUUUUCAGAUCUUCCACAGCUUCAGGUAACAUAUAAUUAGGAUUCCAGUUUGGGUGAUCAAUCUCAUAUUUGUACAUGUCAUUGAAAUCCGAUCUCUUCAACUUCAGUGAUUCCAAAGGCUGUGAUUCAAUCCAAACUGCAUCCAUACCAUCUUCCCCGUACAGAAACUGAAUCACAUCACCUAACGAAUUCCUAACAGUCCCAUCAUACUUAACCAUGAUAUCUUCCAUAGCCUUCACCAAUCGCCUCUGAAUAUAUCCAGUCUCAGAAGUUUUCACUGCAGUGUCAAUAAGACCUUCCCUACCACCCAUGGCAUGGAAAAAGAACUCUUGAGGAGACAAUCCUCGAAGAUAUGAGUUCUCCACAAAACCACGACUCUCUGGACCAUAAUCAUCUUUGGUGAAGUGUGGAAGUGUGCGAUCCACAAAACCAAAAGGAAUUCGCUUGCCUUCAACAUUCUGCUGACCCACACAUGCAGUCAUCUGAGAAAUAUUGAUGAAACUUCCCUUAGACCCUGCAGUGACCAUAGCUUUGAGGUUGUUACUUUCUGCCAAGCUCUUCUGAGCACUGCUUCCAGCAUCAUCACGAGCCUUAUUCAACACCUGAAGGCACAAAACAUAUAUAAGGGAAUCACCAGGCUGCAGCAAGGAAAUCAAAAUUUUUAACAAACCUGGUUAACUCUGUUCUCGAACGAUUCCAUCAUUGUUCUUCCUGGCUCAGCUUCCAAUUGCUUUUCUUGUGCAGCCCUGAUAAGUUCAUUCACCUCAUUCUUAGCUUUGUUAAUAGUUUCAGAGAUCUUCGUCAUUGUAUCAUGAUCAGCAAUUGUAUCUCCAAUUCCCAUGCUAAAAGCGUUCUGCAAAAGCCAAUAAUUGACCAGCCAUUGUGUAUGUCCCAAAAAUUUCCGAGCUGCAUCUGGACCGACUUCUUCCCUGAGACCAGUAUACAUUAUAUUAAACACAUAAAUAUGAAUAAAGAAUCUUUCGGGCUUUCAGUUCAUUAUUAUAAUAUUUAUUACUCCUUGUUUCAUGUGCCAUAUCAUAUGUUUUGAUGUCACAAAUGCUAUAAUAUUCACACAGAAGAGCUACUAGAGUGGAGGAAGACUGAUAUAUGCAAAAGCUAAAUUGUUAAAGAGUACAGAAAUUUUCAAUAAGAUACUCAUGUAGUUUUAAACUUCUGAAGAAAAUUAAUCUUCUCUUCUACAAAUUCCGAUGGAGUAAGCAAAGGAACACUUUCUUGAAAUGGCAUUAGUUUUAUUGAUAUCUAUAAUGAGUGCAAGCAUGGAGAUUGAUAAAGUGUUUUGUCUGCAAAGAAACAGUACCCAUUUUUUUGUGCCAAAAGGAGAAUCUUUUUGCUAGUGAAAAGAGAGGGUAUUUCAUUGGUAACUCAAGCAAGUUCUUUUGAAAGUAUUACUUCUUCAAUCAACAUAUUGCGAGUUCUGACUCAUUUGCGAGAUCCUAGAAUAUAUAAAUAAAAGACACCAACUUCAUUUAAAGUAUUUGCAUACAUAUGCUCCCAAUCCCCAUUGCCCAUAGAGCAAUGGACCAAUUUAAUACAACAUGAAUUCUUCAGAAGAUAAAAGUGAAAGUCAUGCUUUUGCUCUUAAAUUUAAGGUUGAACGAAAAAUGUGACCCGCAAACAGCCCCAUACCUCCAUUUUACCCAACUUUCCACUUAUUACAUUUUGCUACUAGAUACUUCAGGUAUGUUACCCGCAAUCAGCCCCAAUUCAUAAUAUGGAUAAGUUGGGUGGGCGUUUAGGAGACAAUAGUUUCCUUUCAAAACCCACCAAAUGCAGAAAUGGUACUGCAAAAAUUCCAGAAAGAACGUACCAAAUAACAUGUAUGAGACUUCCACUAGAUGACCCGAGUGUUUUCUUGCAUAGGGUGCCUGAAAGUAACUCCCCUUUUUCUAUCCGUACUUGAGUAUCCCCAGGAGUAAUAAAUCCUUUUUCAGUUUCUUGAUGCCAUGAAGAAUACCUUAAUAGAUUUAUCUGUCUUGGAAUGAUUAAAUUAAAUACUUGUUUCCCAGUCCAAAGAGGCUUAGGUUUCAGAAUUGUUGGAGCAGGUACUUUGCCAUCAAAAUCCUCCCACCACAUAAGGAUGUUCAUAAAAACAUCCUGCGAACAAUACAGACAGCGAUAUCAGAUUGAAUGUGGACACUUACCUAAAAAUUACAUAAUGAUGACAGAAAAUCAAAUGUUACCUUGUCAAUAAAAGUAUCUCUCUUAGUGAUUUUGCGACAUCCUAGUAGUGUAUCCUGCACAAUACCCAUUACAGGUCGAUUUGAUUGAGGUGACACGAUGCAUUUUGGAACCAUCAUUAAUUCCAGAACUUCGGCUCUAGUUUCAAAUGACUGGGGCACGUGCAUAUUCAUUUCAUCUCCAUCAAAAUCAGCAUUGUAGGGUGAGGUAACAGACAGAUUUAAGCGGAAUGUUGAAUAUGGCAUAAUCUUGAUUCUGUGGCCCAUAAUGGACAUCUUAUGGAGACUCGGUUGCCGAUUGAACAGGACAAAGUCUCCAUCAUUUAAAUGUCUCUCAACCUGUACCAUCAAAUAAUAGGAAUCAGGUGUCAAAAGGAAUCCAAUGCUUGAUCAUUCUCAAUUAUAUAGCUGGGAGUCUCACCUUAUAUCCAAGUUCUAGAUGCUGAUCACUACUCUUUUUCAAGUACCGGAGAUCAAGCCUCUGUCCAUCAUCCCUAAUAAUAUAUUUUGCGCCAGUUUUACCAGGAGGGGGAUGAGGUCCAUAUUCCACAAGCUCUUUCAAUCUAUUUUCAAGGUCAAUAUCUGGUUAACAAGAAUAACCAAAAAGUAUAGAGGGAUCACUAUCAAGAAAUAUGGUAAGAGUGCCUAACCUUUCGAUGUUAUAUGGAGUUACAGUUUCAGGAUAUGUAAGAUUUAAGGCAAUACUCCAAGGCACACCCAGCUGGUCGAUGUUGAUUGUUGGGUCAGGUGUAAUCACAGUCCGAGCCGAAAAAUCUACUCGCUUACCCAUCAAGUUACCUCUGAUCCUACCAUCUUUUGCCUUAAGCCUGCUACAUAUUGAUUUAAUGGGUCUGCCAGAUCUUUGGGUAGCCUGAUGUAUACAAGGAUACUUCACUUGUUAGAUAAAUGAUGUUCCAGGAACUGCAUCCACAGUCUCAAUAUACUGAAAUAAUAUAACAUACUCUUGGUUGACCAGGUAAAUCGUUAUCAAAGUAUGUAGCCACAUGGAACUGCAGCAACUGUGCAAACUCAGAGAUGAUGUGUGCAGGAGCCCCAUUCCGCUCCUGCCUCUUUAAGUUCUCAUUAUGCCUAAUGAUCAUGGCCAGUUGAUGAGUUAAAUCAUCCUGCAUAAAUUGAUUCAAUUAUUAGAUUCUCCUGCAACUUAAAAGCAGCAAUCCGAGGAACAUGCAAUUGAUUGACUUGAUCAGUUUGCAGUGAACAGAACCCGAUACACUUAUCUGACCUAAAGGAACAAUUAGGGGUAAUCUAAACACCCAUGACAUUGUAGAGAUCAAAAGGAGAAGUCAUGCCUCACUCCGAGAAGAAGUAUCCAUCAUUACAGAAGGCCUAACUGGAGGAGGAGGGAUUGGAAGAACUUGAAGAAUCAUCCAGUCAGGGCGAGCAUAUUUUGGAUUCAAGCCCAACAACUGACAAUCUUCAUCAGUAAUUCUCUUCAGUAUGCUGAGCACCUGAAACAAAAAGGAAAUAGAGAUUGUUGGGAUUAGCGCAUAAAUCAAUCUAUCACAUUAUCCAGGCUGGAAAAAAAAGUUUGAAUCCCUAUUCUCUGGCAAUUUAUGAUAUAUGAUACCUUCUCUGCAGAGAGAAGUUGUUUUCGUUCAACAGGUUCAGGCAUCUGGUCCUGGUCAUCACUUUUCUUCUUCUGAAUCUUGUAUUCAGCAACCAUUUUCAUCCCAUCUAUAGAAAUCUUUGGCUGCUGAGCACCGCAUCCACCCCUAGACUUCUUCACAGGUUCUUCCGAAUCUUGACCUCGCACAUCGAUCUCAUCACCUCCUUCACAUUUGGAUUUGUUUUUGCAGGCAUCUAAUAUCUUCUUUAAUCUAUUCUUAGGGUUUCUAAUUCUCAUUGCUUGCUUGAACUUGGGAUCGUCCUAGAAAAAUUAACAAGGGAUCAAAAUACAUUGCAAAAGAAAACGAUUGUUCCAACUUCCAAGUAACUUUAUUUCCAUUUGAAGUAUAAUAUUCAGGCAAUAAUGAAAAUAACUAACUUUUACAACAGCAACACUCCUAGGAGAUGCAUCCAGAUGAUGAAAUACCUCAAACUGCUUCUAUCUUACCAAUAUGCAUUUCUAUAAAAGUAACACAAUUAUUGAAGACAUAACAGAACCUAGAAGCCUAAAACUGGAUCGUUGCUAGUCAUAAGUCUUACUAUCCAGUCACUCUUGCAAGUAAUAAGAAUGUUACAAUUAAAUCAGUUGCCCAGUUCAGGAUGGUCAUGAAUAAGACAGAAGUCUGACCCUCCUAGUAUACGAACAUAUACAUGAAAUAAGCAUUUUCCGUGAAUCCAGCAUAUGUUAUACACUUCUGAAAAAUUCAGUCUGCUACUCAGGCCUCACAACAGCGGAAUCAAUAGUCAUACCCAAUAUGAACCAAGUGAGCAUGACUGUACAAAUUCAUACUACUUAAACCGAAAACGUCCAUAACUUCAAUCUAACUACUCGGGAAAUGUACAAUACCUCAUCCGCUAAAAUCUUAGAGCAAUUGAAGCAGACACUGCGGAGAAUACUGAGCACAGUCUUCAUGAAGCCAAUGUGAAACAUAGGUUUGGCGAGCUCAAGGUGACCGAAGUGACCGGGGCAGUCAGCCAUGUUCGCCAUACAAGUCUCGCACUUCAUCUUCCGAUCAAUCGUCCCCAGACGCGGGUCGCUCAAACCACCGAUCUUCGGCUUGCCUCUUUCCGUCGUCUCGCUGUGCUCUAUAUGCACAACAGACAUUUGUCUCUACAAAACACACCAUAAAACAAUAGACCAUCAUUUCCAACUCAAUCACACACUCAAUGCCGAAACUGAAAGUUCAAAACAUUCAAAGAAGUGAGAAUUACGAUCUCAUCGGGGCUGAGAAUGCCGAAUUGGACGACGCGGACUUUCGCGACCUCUGCCGGCGAGAAGGGGAACCGCAGAUCCAUUGCGACACCGGAGAUUCUACCCUAGGGUUUUCGAUUAUGAUUUAUUAUGCUAGCUGAUAUAUAAUAAUUCCAAAAUUAGAAACAAAUAUGGUUUUCAAGUACUUCAAAUUAUUCGCGGUUUCUGUUAAGUAACUGAUUUUUGGGGUUUUUGAAGAAAACUUUUUUCACGCUGCGCUCUUCUCUGAAGGAGGAGAGGCGGCUUUGAGACCAAAGAAGAGAAUGAGGGGUUGAAGGGGUAUUUAAAGAGAUGGAUGGCUUCGAAGUCGGCGCUUAAUGGGGUUGUUUGGCUACACAGUUAUGAGCUGGACAUCUUCCUCUCGUUUGGUCCAUCUAUUAAAAAAUCUUCUUAAUCUAUUUUUAAACAUAAUUUCAUCAACUAUUAUCCUUAUAAUUUUCAUUUUUUGUAAGACUCAUUUUUCACUUAUCAAGUAUACAAUUAAUUUUUAUUAAAAUUCAUGUCACCCUCCUUUAUAAAGAUCUUUGAGAAAUGAAGGGAGUGUUAAUUCCAAAUAUUUGGUAAAAUAAGUACAUAAAUACUCAUUUCGUCCCAACUUUUAGUAUCAAUUUAAGAAUGACACGUGUUUUAAUAAAGUUGUUAAGUGUGUUGUGAGUGGAAUAAGGGUCUCGCAUUUUACGUGAAUGUUAAAAUAAUUAAAGUGGAGUAAGGGUCUCACCUACUUUUACUAAAAAUAAAAAUGAAUAUCAAAAUAUGGAACGGCCAAAAAAGGAAAUAUGAAUACUAAAAGUUGGGACGAAGAUAGUAGUUUACAAGCUCUACAAAUAAGUUUCUACAAUUUAUAAGCUUUUCAAACUACAAACUUUUUACCAUAAAUUACUUUUUCAUAAUUUUAUACUUCCUUCAUCCCAAUUCNCUUAUAAUUUUUCAUUUUUUUGUAAGACUCAUUUUUUCACUUAUCAAGUAUACAAUUAAUUUUUAUUAAAAUUCAUGUCACCCUCCUUUAUAAAGAUCUUUGAGAAAUGAAGGGAGUGUUAAUUCCAAAUAUUUGGUAAAAUAAGUACAUAAAUACUCAUUUCGUCCCAACUUUUAGUAUCAAUUUAAGAAUGACACGUGUUUUAAUAAAGUUGUUAAGUGUGUUGUGAGUGGAAUAAGGGUCUCGCAUUUUACGUGAAUGUUAAAAUAAUUAAAGUGGAGUAAGGGUCUCACCUACUUUUACUAAAAAUAAAAAUGAAUAUCAAAAUAUGGAACGGCCAAAAAAGGAAAUAUGAAUACUAAAAGUUGGGACGAAGAUAGUAGUUUACAAGCUCUACAAAUAAGUUUCUACAAUUUAUAAGCUUUUCAAACUACAAACUUUUUACCAUAAAUUACUUUUUCAUAAUUUUAUACUUCCUUCAUCCCAAUUCAAUAGGCCACAAGACAAGGCUUGGACAUGGAUAUUAAGAAGCGAAUAGUUUAUAAUAAAAUACGAGAGAGAAAGUAGCUUUUUUUAGAGUAAAUUUGUGAAAAAAGUAGGAGAGAGUAGAGAUAAUUUUGUGGGAUCACAAUGAUAUUUGAUGUACAUAAUGAGUUGUGCGAAGGUGUUUGUUAUAUACUAUGAUUUUUUAUUUUAGGAAGUGACCUAUUGAAUUGGAACGUCCAAAUAAGGAUUCAUGACAUAUUUAAAUGGAACUGAGGGAGUAAUAUAUUUUACAAAAAUUAUUCAAUUAUACUUUAUUACUAUUUUCAUCAUAUACACUUUAAACCACUUUGCAAAAAUUAACUCAAUCAUAUAAAUACUUUCACAACUUAUAAGCUCUUACAAAAAUACAUUUUUAAAAUUUUUGAAACAUUUUAUAAAUUGCUACAAUUAUAAAUUUCUUAAAAUAAGCUUAUCCAAACAUCCCCUUAAUUCUACAACAAAAUUUUAACAAAUGGAGUAUAAAUGAGCUAUGAUUGGUAACAUAUUUUUCCUACAAAAAUAAUAAGCGAUAGGUAACAUAACUAGCGUGGGAACUAAGAAUCAAUCUGGUCUAUUAAUUUGAUUAAAUGAUCAUGAUUGAUUUCCAUAUUGAACAAUACAUAUAUAUGAUAAUGCAUCAGUUUAUGCCAGAAAUUAUGCCAUGCUGAUAAAUAAUACUCCAUUCGUCCCAAACGAAAUGUCCUAUUUCUUUUCGGUACGGAAAUUAAGAAAUGUGUAUAAAAUAGAUUAAGUGGGUUGGUGAAAAUUAUUUAAAUAUUAAGUAUAGAGAGAGAGUGUAGUGCCAAAAAAGGAAACAUGACAUUUCGUUUGAGAUAGCCCAAAAAGGAAAACAGUACAUUUCGUUUGGAACGGAGGGAGUAUAGUGCAUACUUAUAAUAAACAACGUAGUUUUAAGUGUGGUGCCCACUUCGGGGGAGCUUGUUGGAUUUAUAAUAAACGACGUAGUUUUCAUAUAUACAAAAAAUCCUCUUCCAUUGAGAUGGUUUCUUACAUUCUUGGCUUCAGCUGCGCAUGGCUUAUCUAUGCAUGCAUUAUUUUAGUUAUAAGCAAUUUAGUAAAUAAAAUAACAAAAUGGAUGGAUUAACAUUGCCACAAAACAUGAUGACACUAUUAGUAUUUUACUUCAAAGGGGAAGAAAAAAAAACUUUAUACGAAUGAAAGAAUGCCAUGUUAAACAAUCUCUCUUAGCCAAAUUGGAAAGCUAUGAGACCAAACAAAUGGACUACAAAUUAAAAAAGAGGUUAUAAAGUGACACGGGACUUAUACGCCACGUGCGGAGUUCAGCUGCCCGACUGCCGGAGUUCAGCUGCCCGACUGCCGGCCUGGUAUGAAAAUGAUUGGGUUAGGGUAGGGUGUCCCAUGCAACAAAUCCUCAUUCCACCUUCCCUUUGUCAGUUUCAUUUACCACACUAAGCCAUGUAAACAAUACCAACACAAUCACAAAAUCAGCAAAUCUAUUCGAACUCGCUUGGCCUAUGGUGAAAGCAGGAUGGAAAAGAAAGCAAAAUAAGCAAAGGUAAAUAUACCUGCUUGGACUGGAAGGAGAAAAAGAUGGUGAUGUUGGGCUGCAAAACCACAGAAAAUAAUAUGUCAAGGUAGCAUUUGAAAGAGAGUUUCACCAGUUCAGAAUAUAUCCUAGUCUUGUCGGGGAAAUAAAACAAAAAGAGUAAUACUCUAGGGAACAAUUUAUCCAGCUUCCUCUGUGGACAAUCAAGUAUAGAAACAGAGUAAUACAUUUAACCAAGGUUAUAUUUGUUAGCAAACUUGAAGAGCAAAAAUUAAAAUAAGGCUUGCCAAAAGUUACCUGAGACUCGGAGAAUAUGGACUGUACGGACUUGAAGGUGUGAUUUUUGGACUUGUAGGUGAAUAUGCUUGUGAAGGGCUAUACCUUGCUGAAGGAUUGUAACUUGGUGAGGUCAGACUGUAAGUCGGUGAGGUGGGACUGUAUCCAGGUGAAGUUGGGCUGUAGGCAGGAGAGGUAGGGCUGUAUGAAGGUGAGGUUGGGCUGUACGAUGGAGAGGUUGGGCUGUAAGAUGGUGAGGUUGGGCUGUAAGAGGGAGACGUGGGGCUGUAAGCCGGAGAAGUUGGGUUAUAAGCAGGUGAGGUUGGGCUGUAAGAGGGAGACGUGGGGCUGUAAGCCGGAGAAGUUGGGCUAUACGCAGGUGAGGUUGGGCUGUAUGCUGGAGAAGUUGGGCUGUAGCUCGGAGAUGUAGGGCUGUAGCUCGGAGAUGUGGGGCUAUAGCUAGGAGAUGUUGGGCUGUAGGAAGGAGACGUUGGUGAAUAAGAUGGGCUUGUGGGAG
rnacentral:lncRNA from 1 species